rfam:Ictidomys tridecemlineatus contig076644, whole genome shotgun sequence.
UGGGGUGUAGCUCAGUGGAAGAGAAUGUGUUUAGCAUUCACAAGGUCCUGGGUUCAAUCCCCAGUGCCAAAA